AUGCGUAGGAACAGGCCGCGGCAGAGCGCAGCGUCCAUCGAACUGGAAGACGACGAGCACAUCAUAACCGAACUUGAGCUCUGGCAAGGGAUGGGACCUAGGCGGUUCUGCCACACCGAGCUUGCCGCCGCAACGGACAACUUCGCCGAGGAGAGGAAGAUAGGGAGAGGGGGGUUCGGUUCGGUGUAUAGGGGCUACUUGAGUGACCAAGACCGUCAUGUGGCCAUCAAGACGCUCUCACAGGAGCUGUCGGUGCAGGGGCUCCGGGAGUUUCAGGCAGAGGUCGCCAUCAUGAGCCAGCUUAGGCACCGCAACAUAGUCCAGCUCGUGGGCUGGUGCCGUCGUCGGAGAGGAGGACUGGCGCUCGUCUACGAGCUCGUGGACGGAGGCAGCCUCGACACCCAUCUCUACAAUCCCGACAGAUGCUUAACUUUGUCGGAGAGGUACAAUAUCGCGCUCGGCCUGGGCUCCGCCCUGCGGUACCUCCACACGGACUGCCACCAGUGCGUCGUGCACGGCGACAUCAAGCCCGCGAACGUGAUGCUCGAGGCAUCAGGCAGCGCUAAGCUCGGCGACUUCGGGCCCGCGAGGCUCGUCGACCACGGAGCCGAGCCACGGACGACGCAGGUCGUCGCGGGGACCCUCGGGUACAUCGACCCAGAGUUCGUCAGCAGCCGCCGGCCGAGGGCCGAGUCCGACGUGUACAGCUUCGGCGUCGUGCUCCUCGAGAUCGCCUGUGGCAGGCGGCCCGCGUCGAGGCGAACCGGCCAGGCCUCGGCGGCGCUGCUGACCUCGGUCCGCGACUUGUACCACCGGAACCUGAUCGUGGACGCGGCGGACGAGCCUGGCGAGUUUGACAAGCUGCAGAUGGAGCGUCUGCUCGUGACGGGGCUUUGGUGCGCGCACCACGACCGGUUGCAGCGGCCGUCCGUUACGCAGGCUAUGGAUGUGCUACGGUCCGAAGACGCCAGGUUGCCGGUGCUUGUAGCGAUAGCGAUGCCUGGUUCCGGGGAGAUUCGAUCGUUGGAGGGGCAGGCUUAUGGCGAUGUGUCUGACGACAACUCUGGUUACUUGAAUGAAUCAACUGAAACUGCGUACCUUACUAGCGAGGAGUGA
rnacentral:rRNA from 1 species